GACGAACGCUGGCGGCGUGCUUAACACAUGCAAGUCGAACGGAAAGGCCCUGCUUUUGUGGGGUGCUCGAGUGGCGAACGGGUGAGUAACACGUGAGUAACCUGCCCUUGACUUUGGGAUAACUUCAGGAAACUGGGGCUAAUACCGGAUAGGAGCUCCUGCUGCAUGGUGGGGGUUGGAAAGUUUCGGCGGUUGGGGAUGGACUCGCGGCUUAUCAGCUUGUUGGUGGGGUAGUGGCUUACCAAGGCUUUGACGGGUAGCCGGCCUGAGAGGGUGACCGGCCACAUUGGGACUGAGAUACGGCCCAGACUCCUACGGGAGGCAGCAGUGGGGAAUAUUGCACAAUGGGCGGAAGCCUGAUGCAGCGACGCCGCGUGCGGGAUGACGGCCUUCGGGUUGUAAACCGCUUUCGCCUGUGACGAAGUGUGAGUGACGGUAAUGGGUAAAGAAGCACCGGCUAACUACGUG
rnacentral:rRNA from 1 species